UGGGGAAUAUUGGACAAUGGGCGAAAGCCUGAUCCAGCAAUGCCGCGUGAGUGAUGAAGGCCCUAGGGUUGUAAAGCUCUUUUACCCGGGAUGAUAAUGACAGUACCGGGAGAAUAAGCCCCGGCUAACUCCGUGCCAGCAGCCGCGGUAAUACGGAGGGGGCUAGCGUUGUUCGGAAUUACUGGGCGUAAAGCGCACGUAGGCGGCUUCCUAAGUCAGAGGUGAAAGCCCGGAGCUUAACUCCGGAAUAGCCUUUGAGACUGGGUCGCUUGAAUCCGGGAGAGGUGAGUGGAAUUCCGAGUGUAGAGGUGAAAUUCGUAGAUAUUCGGAAGAACACCAGUGGCGAAGGCGGCUCACUGGACCGGUAUUGACGCUGAGGUGCGAAAGCGUGGGGAGCAAAC
rnacentral:rRNA from 1 species